rnacentral:rRNA from 1 species
CGAGACUCAGUGAAAUUGAACUCGCUGUGAAGAUGCAGUGUACCCGCGGCAAGACGGAAAGACCCCGUGAACCUUUACUAUAGCUUGACACUGAACAUUGAGCCUUGAUGUGUAGGAUAGGUGGGAGGCUUUGAAGCGUGGACGCCAGUCUGCGUGGAGCCGACCUUGAAAUACCACCCUUUAAUGUUUGAUGUUCUAACGUGGAUCCGUAAUCCGGGUUGCGGACAGUGUCUGGUGGGUAGUUUGACUGGGGCGGUCUCCUCCUAAAGAGUAACGGAGGAGCACGAAGGUUGGCUAAUCCUGGUCGGACAUCAGGAGGUUAGUGCAAUGGCAUAAGCCAGCUUGACUGCGAGCGUGACGGCGCGAGCAGGUGCGAAAGCAGGUCAUAGUGAUCCGGUGGUUCUGAAUGGAAGGGCCAUCGCUCAACGGAUAAAAGGUACUCCGGGGAUAACAGGCUGAUACCGCCCAAGAGUUCAUAUCGACGGCGGUGUUUGGCACCUCGAUGUCGGCUCAUCACAUCCUGGGGCUGAAGUAGGUCCCAAGGGUAUGGCUGUUCGCCAUUUAAAGUGGUACGCGAGCUGGGUUUAGAACGUCGUGAGACAGUUCGGUCCCUAUCUGCCGUGGGCGCUGGAGAACUGAGGGGGGCUGCUCCUAGUACGAGAGGACCGGAGUGGACGCAUCACUGGUGUUCGGGUUGUCAUGCCAAUGGCACUGCCCGGUAGCUAAAUGCGGAAGAGAUAAGUGCUGAAAGCAUCUAAGCACGAAACUUGCCCCGA